CAGCGUGGUGCUCUCACAGGGGACAAGCACCAGAGCACCUGCCUUCAAACAGGGCUUCUGAGCCUCAGAUCCCUAGAAUUGGGUCUACUGACUCUGGAUGGGGGGUAAACAACAGCAACAACAACAUGCAAAGGAGAAAGCAACAAAACCCCAGGCCAAAUACCCAGGCUGUGAGUCUUUCAGCUGAGUCCAUUCUUGUCCCUGGAAGGUGGGUCUGCUGCUGCCUGUGGUCUGUGUCGUCUCUCUUCUGUACACUUGAGCUGCAGUCGCUGUGACAUAUUUCAGCAGAACUCUCCACAGCUGAUUCUUGUGCAGCCUAGAGAGAAGACCUGUGGGCCUGAGGAGGUGGAGGGACUUGCCUGUGAAACUGGUCUGCAGAAAAGCCAGUCAUUGCUGCAAAAUGGCAGCUGCAUUCACAGAAUCCACUCUUCUCACUUUACAGAUGGGCCAAAUGAAGCCAACAACAGGAGACUUUUGAACAAACUACCAAGAGAUGUUCUGGGAAUUCUACUGGUUUCAGAUGAUGAGGUCAUCAAAGGUCAGAAGAUAAACCUCCAAGGAAAUACAGAAGAAUAUACUUUAGAAUGGCUGAGCAAAGUGUGGACAUUGAAACUAAGGAAUGCUAGCAGGUGUGUCUGGGAGGUGGCUGGCUAGAACAAUGAGGAUGUCAACCAAGGCUGCAGCUCUCAGCAAGCCAACAACAGACUAGGAGUUGAACGAUCAAUUCUCCCCAUCGAACAAUCAAGAAAAGCUUGGAGACCCAGAACUGGAAAACAUUUACUUGAAAACCACUGAUGCAGGGUUAGUCAAUUAAGCUUGCAUUUUCUUAGCUCACCCAGUUUUGGUAGUCACAUUUGUUGGUUAAUUUUCAUGAAAAUUCAGCUUUGACUUUUAUUCUCAAUAAGUUAAUAGAUUUUAUUUUUAUAU